rnacentral:lncRNA from 1 species
CAGGUUUAAAAACAGGAGAAAUUGCUGGCAUCAGUGUAACGGCAACUGUAUUAGUUAUAGGAGCACUAAUUGUAGGAGGUUAUUAAUUUAAGCGAAGCAUUUCAAAAUAACCUGCUUAAUAUAUGGCUUAAAACACAGGUACAGAUGAUGAUACGUCAGCAUAUAAACGAAAAGAAUUGAAGAAACCACCAUCUUUUCCUCAUUAGAACGGAGUGUAUAUGCAGUAGAAUAUGUCCCAGUUCUUGCGUUGUGUGUCCCUAUAAUGAUAACUAGCUAUUUUAUUAUUGUUUUAACAUAUUGAUUGAUAUACAUUUAACCCAUAUCCUCAGCGAUUGUUAUCAUCUUACAUCCAGAUCAUGUUAAGUUAUGGGCAUAGAAAACUCUAGAGGAGAUAACCGAAUACAGGAUAAUAUCUAUCCGUUUCAGAAACCAAAAUGAGGGACUACUAUACACAAUGUAAUGCAUAAGAGCACACUGGAUGUAGAGCUAAGUUGUUUACAACAUAACUAUUAUGGAGAGAAUAAUGUCAUCUGAGAUCUGUUAUCGUAUUUUUACCAUUGUUUUGAAAGAGCGAGCACAUACAUAUAUAUAUAUAUAUAUAUAUAUACAAAUUCACUUGCCUUCAUUGACUUUCCCUGGCAAUUCGCCUCAUCAGACGCAUGUGUUCCGUCAACAUUUGAUCACAUGGUAAUUCUUGUGUUUUUCUAAUGUUGUCUCGUGCUCAUCAGCC